CCCCGCCCCCAGUGGCCGCCAUUGGACAGGUUGAAUUGAUCGACUCGUUCGAGUGACUCAGCAAGUCGCCAGUCGAAAAUUGGACGGCUAAGCAUUACUAGGUAUUUGUUUAGGAAUGUGAUAACCUCCUUGCAAAGCAAUGUGUUCAAUGGUCUGAGCAGUCUAGCAGCCCUACACCUUCACGACAACAAACUUUCGAGCCUGCCUGUAGGCAUUUUCAGGGACCUAACAAGCCUGCAAUAUCUGGGAUUGCAACAGAAUAGCUUUCGGUCCUUGCAAAGCAAUGCGUUCGCUGAUUUGAAAGACCUGAGAAACCUGCAGUUACAUGAGAAUCAGUUCAGCUCCUUGCAAGGCAAUGAGUUCGAUGGGUUGAGAAAUCUGACAUAUCUAUUGCUUGAAUACAACUCACUUUCCAGCCUGCCUGUAGGCAUUUUCAAAGACCUAACAAGUCUUCAAAAUCUGCGAAUCCGCAACAACAACCUCGUGUCAUUGCCUAUCGGG